GGUCCUUUGAAAAGAUCAACAAAAUUGAUAAUACUUUAGCUAGACUGACCAAGAUAAAAAAGGCAAGACAAAUUACUAAAAUCACUACU